rnacentral:rRNA from 1 species
AUACGUAGGUGGCAAGCGUUGUCCGGAAUUAUUGGGCGUAAAGCGCGCGCAGGUGGUUCCUUAAGUCUGAUGUGAAAGCCCCCGGCUCAACCGGGGAGGGUCAUUGGAAACUGGGGAACUUGAGUGCAGAAGAGGAUAGUGGAAUUCCAAGUGUAGCGGUGAAAUGCGUAGAGAUUUGGAGGAACACCAGUGGCGAAGGCGACUGUCUGGUCUGUAACUGACCCUGAGGCGCGAAAGCGUGGGGAGCAAAAAGGAUUAGAUACCCUGGUAGUCCACGCCGUAAACGAUGAGUGCUAAGUGUUGGGGGGUUUCCGCCCCUCAGUGCUGCAGCUAACGCAUUAAGCACUCCGCCUGGGGAGUACGGUCGCAAGACUGAAACUCAAAUGAAUUGACGGGG